rnacentral:lncRNA from 1 species
GUAAGUUAUACCAGUCAGCACAGAGACCAUAUGUUAUUUUGUCCUGCAGCGUAAUUUCAGGAUUUGGUAAAGCUGAGCACAGUAUUGGUGCUAAAUAGGAUAUUCUUAUCAGCGUGCUCCUGCUGACAGUGGUGUUUCAGUGUUGUGCAGUGAGCUAUGUCAAGGAGUAGAUCUGACCAGAAGCCAGCCUGCCACAAAGAACAGUUGUUUUCAACUAGCAAGCUUCUUGGUCCCCUGCCCUAAAAACAUCUGUAAGUCUUCAUGAACUGUAACGUGAGCACAGAAUUGGUGCAGGAUGCUUCCAUCACUGUGAUUCAGGAACAGGCUGCGCUUACUGCUGUGAAAUUAUAGAGACAAGUUAGAGGUGGCUCUUGUUGUUUUUGGCACUCUUACAUAUUUCUCUCAGUAGAUUCCUUGCUGUAGAAGUGAAGACUGUUUGGGGGAGCCCUAUUUUUUUUUAUGUUUGUUUGGUUACAAUGAAUCUUUUCAUUGGUAAAACUUACUCUAACUGAUUAGUUGAACUGCUGAGUAGAAAAGCCAAACGCUCAAGUGCGUGUAAAAACGUUAUUGAGUAGGCUCUUCAGAAAAUAAGCACCUCCCAAAACCUUGAGUGACCAGCCUGUGAAGGCAGAUUUUGGGAGUGGGAAAAAGCAGGGGUCUUGGGACUCUUCAGUCGUAUGUAGGGGAGAGGAGUUUUUCUUCCUUUCAGUGCCAGCAAUACCAAGCGUUAAUUUUCUUGCCCACUCCCUCCCUGUAGUGCCCAUGUAUCCUUCUAAUAAAACAUCAGGUCUUCAAUUCCUCAGCUCUGCAUAGGGUACUGCUGGCAGGAGCCUUGGCCUUGCUUGCAUGGCAGCUCUGCAUCGUAGUAUGGCCUCUGGGAAGUAGGCUGAUUGUUGUAAAUGAAUCUACCACACGUUUAAUUUGUGCAGCAAAAUAACUUUUACCAGUGUAUGGAGAUUUGCAGUUUUGCUUACAUUCUGCUUGUUUUCUUUCUCUUGCAGGAUCUUGUUCCUUCUCCACCUUCAAUUCAGUUCCAAGGACGCCAAGGGAUCAGUUAACAGAUCCAGUUUUCUAUAUAUGCAUGCGGUGCUUCUGCAGAGAAAGCAAGGAAGAGAUGAGAGAAGGAUGGAUGAAGUCUUAAAGAUGGCGAAAGGAACAUUUGACUUCUGAAGUAUCUGGACCAUAAUGUGUGGUACCAUCUGAAGAAGCUCGAGGGUGAUGAGGAAAGGCAAGAUGUGGAUCAUUUAGAUGGUAGGAAUUAGCUUUUGAGAAAUACCUUGUAAUUAAACAUUUUGGCUUACAUGUUCUCAGUCAGCGUAGAAGCUGUGUUGUUCUAGAUACAAUAACUGAGGAAUUUCAGUAUUGCCAACUGACUUUUCACUGUAAUGCAGAGUGGGGAUAAGUUUUAACAAACAGCUACGAAUAAACAAGCUGCUGUUUUUAGCCCAGUAUACAGCCCACAUUAGCACUGAGUUCUAAAUAGGCAUGCUUUCCUUGCGUGGUUUCACUCUUUUACUUAUUUUACU